UAUAAGACAGGCCGGAAGCGACUCGCUCCUUGGAGUAUGGUAGGGGCAGAGGGAAUUUCCGGUGGAGCGGUGAAAUGUGUAGAGAUUGGAAAGAACACCAAUGGCGAAAGCACUCUGCUGGACCGACACUGACACUGAGAGAUGAAAGCUAAGGGAACGAAUGGGAUUAGAUGGCUUUGCUAUCGCUCACAAUGGUCGACAGUAUUACUGCCAU
rnacentral:ncRNA from 1 species